AAGUAUAUGUGUAUAUACCAAAUCAAGAACUCAUUGCACGUAAAAAAACGAAAAAGAAAAGAAAAAAAAAGAAUAUAUAUAAAUGGGAAAAAAUUUCAUCGAGCCCGCAACCUCGAUGCCUCUUCUCACUUUGUCAUCAGAUUCAGGCCAUCCGAAGGAACCGACGGAGAUAGCGCGGUCCAUCGUCUCACCGUCACGGCCAUCCAUUCUACCCGCCGAGACGGCGACCGGUGCUUCUUGGUUCCUCGCCCUGCCCUCUUUCAGUCCCUGCCUCGUUUCUGCUCCCCUGACCCGCUGCGAGCAGCGCCUGUCACGCCCCACGUGGCGCCCCGCAAUUGGCGGGAGAGCCGGGUCGGGGGCGUGUGCGCUCGCCCACCGCCACUCGGGGCAGGGCAACAAAAUGAUAUUCCUUAUUGUCCUCGAUUGGUGACCCCCAACCCUCUUUUUCGAAGCCCCCCUUCCCUUUCUUUCUUUGCUUCUUUCUUGCUUGCUACCAAGAAGAGAGAGAUAGAGAGGGAGGAAAAAUAAAGGAGAUAAGAGAUCUCAGUUCCAGCUUCCAACCUAAUCUAAUGCCUAUUUAAUUGUGUCCAGAGUGGAAGGGGGGAUGGGGGAUCGAAUAUAAAUGCCGUGGGUGCACCUGGAAUUUUCUUUUCCCCCUUUUCUAACAGAUGCGAGGGCUACGGCUGCGGCCGAGUUAGUCAUGUGAUUAUAUGAUUCUUGUUCUUGUCUUCUUGGGCGCCGGAGUCAAGCAUGCAGGAGUGAGGCUCCAAAGAUGAUGGAUGACAACUCUUUGUGUGAUAACAUGAUAGAUAGGAAUUGGGUAUUGAAGCGCAAGCGGAAACGAGUAUCGAGCGGACUCAAUCUCUCUAAUGGAAAAGAGGCUUCUUCGCUACCUUCAGACUCUCCGAGGAACAUCUCUUCCACUAAGAGGAAGGGGAAAGGCGAUAUUGAUGUUUCUCAAUUGGCUCGUAAGGUCAAAGGGCAUGAUGGGUAUUACUUUGAAUGUGUAGAAUGUGAUCUUGGUGGCAAUUUGCUCUGCUGCGAUAGCUGUCCUCGAACCUAUCAUCUUGAAUGUCUCAAUCCACCUCUCAAGCGUGCACCACCUGGGAAGUGGCAGUGCCCAAAAUGUUGUGAGCAAAGGGAUAAUAUGAAAAUGUUAGUAAAUGCGGAAUCCAAUCCAAGACGAGCAAGGACUAAGAGUAUAUUUGAAAAAUCUAAAACUGUACAUAAAUUACCCGGCCAUGACAAAACAUCACUUUCUGGGAGAAACUCCAGUCCUGGAAAGAAUAAAUUAAAUAACAAGAGGAAAGCUACUUUACCUCAGAGGGCUCCAUCUGUUGAAAAGAAGACGGAAUCUUCUCGUAUUGAUACAUCUUACAGCACCAAGUCAAGCCAGUCAUGUGAUGCUGAAUCCAGAGAUGGCAUUUCAACAGCUGCAGAUAAUAAAACUGAGAAGAAACCAGUCUCACCAGUUCGUUGGAAAAGAAGUACUCAUAAAGAUGCCCAUUCUCUUGUUAAAACUUUGAGCUCAGAUCGUAGUCAAAAAUCUCUGGAAAAGAAGUCCGACCCAUGUAAAGGAGAAGUGCAAAGAAAGAAACUUAUUCUUCCAUUAGUUCCACCCCCUCAGGAAGCCAGAAAAAAGAAGCAAAAGGCUAACAGGGCAGACAAGAAGAAGAGGUCAAAAACUGAAAAAGGAAAACAUAUUGCUACAGCUGCUUGUGAUGAUGCAUCAAGGGAAACUCCUCCAUGUCUAGAAAUCAGUGAAUCAUUUCAUAAGCACAACUCAUUUGAUCAGCAGAAUUCUGUGUCUAACACAAAGGAAGAACCUAAAAUGGCAAAACGUGCUAGUCAAAAACAGGCAUCCUUUGAGGGGGUUUCCCCCUCAUCACAAGGAUUAGAUGAACAAGGAGUGAAUGUAGAUAAGACAAUAAAACAUCAUGAGAAUCUUUGGAGUGGAGUACAAGAGGUUGAUCGAAUUUUGGGGUGUCGGGUGCAAACCAGCACUGUGUUGUCUUCAUUUCAUGCUCAAACAAUCAAAUCUGCUACUUCUUCAGAAGAAGCUGAGUCAGAAAAUAAUUCAGGAGGGCAAGUGAGUGGAGUGCCAUAUAGUUGUAAUGUUUCAGAAAAUCAUGACAAACAGCUAAAAGACUCUUCUGAUGAUGGUAAAGAUUCAGAUAAGCAGGAUGGUGAAAGAAUACUUAAGGAGGGAUGCCACAGAGAAGCAAAUCGGGUUGGUGAAAGAAAAGAUAUUCAUGAAGACUAUAAUGGCAAAAGACAUAGAACUCAUGAAUGUCCGAAUAAAGCAAAAGCUACGGCAUCAGUCAUAGAAUCUUCUGGGGAUCACUGCAUCACUGAGAAAAUUUGUGAAGUCAUAGAGGACUCUUUGGUAAAUGCCAUAGAUAUUGGUGAAGACACUGUUCAGAAAGUCUCUGUAGAAAGCAAAAAUGUGGAACUUGUGAGUCCAAUCAAAAAUGGCAAAUCUCAUGCACCAAGGCCUUCUUGCCUAGAAGUCUCUUAUGAUUCAGAAUGCAUUGAUGUUGCAAGCAUGGUGAUUCAACCAGAUAAAAGUGCUGAAAAUAGGACAUCUUCCAAGGUCAUGCAGGAUUCAGGGCCUAACAACAAAAGUAGUAUUAUGUAUGAAUUUUUUGUUAAAUGGGUAGGGAAAUCCAACAUCCAUAACAGUUGGGUUUCUGAAUCCCAGUUAAAAGUUUUAGCUAAAAGAAAGUUGGAGAAUUAUAAGGCAAAAUAUGGAACUGCUGUGAUAAAUAUUUGCAAGGAACAGUGGUGUGAGCCACAGCGUGUUAUUGCUCUCCGUGCUUCUAAGGAUGGUACUGAAGCCCUCAUUAAAUGGCGUGAUCUUCCUUAUGAUGAAUGUACUUGGGAAAGAUUAGAUGAAUCUGUCAUUGAAAAGUCUGUUCAUCUGAUUGCUGAAUUCAAACAGAUCGAGUCUCAAACUUUGGGUAAGGAUGUCGGGGAUGAUUUUCCGAGUAAAGGUGAUCCUCAGGAAGUUGUUUCUUUGGUGGAGCAGCCAAAGGAGCUUCAAGGAGGUUCACUUUUUCCACAUCAGUUAGAAGCUUUAAACUGGCUACGCAAAUGCUGGCAUAAGUCUAAGAACGUGAUACUUGCUGACGAGAUGGGGCUGGGGAAAACUGUAUCUGCUUGUGCUUUCAUCUCGUCGUUGUAUUUUGAGUUUAAGGUGAAAUUGCCGUGUCUGGUCUUAGUUCCUCUAUCCACAAUGCCUAAUUGGUUGGCUGAGUUUGCACUGUGGGCCCCUCAUUUGAAUGUUGUGGAGUAUCAUGGUUGUGCAAAGGCAAGAUCCAUUAUUCGUCAAUAUGAAUGGCAUGCCAGUGACCCAACUGGAUCACGUAAGACAACGGAAUCAUAUAAAUUCAAUGUUUUAUUGACUACUUAUGAGAUGGUCCUUGCUGACUAUUCUCAUCUGCGUGGAGUCCCCUGGGAAGUACUUAUAGUUGAUGAGGGGCAUCGACUGAAAAAUUCUGGAAGUAAACUUUUUAGUUUGCUGAACACAUUUUCUUUUCAGCACCGUGUGUUAUUGACUGGAACCCCUUUGCAGAACAACAUAGGUGAGAUGUAUAACUUACUAAAUUUUUUGCAACCUGCAUCAUUCCCCUCUUUAUCAGCAUUUGAAGAGAAGUUUAAUGAUCUUACAACCGCAGAAAAGGUAGAGGAGUUGAAAAAACUUGUCUCCCCACAUAUGCUUCGAAGGCUGAAAAAAGAUGCAAUGCAAAAUAUCCCCCCUAAGACUGAGCGCAUGGUUCCUGUUGAGUUAACAUCCAUACAGGCUGAAUAUUACCGUGCCAUACUUACGAGGAACUAUCAGAUAUUACGUAACAUUAGAAAAGGUGGUGCUCUGCAGUCAAUGCUAAAUAUUGUCAUGCAGCUCCGGAAGGUUUGCAAUCAUCCAUAUCUCAUUCCAGGAACUGAACCUGAAUCUGGUUCAGUGGAGUUCCUCCAUGAAAUGCGCAUAAAGGCAUCAGCCAAGCUAACAUUACUGCACUCUAUGCUCAAGAUUUUACGUAAGGAUGGGCACCGUGUCCUCAUAUUUUCUCAGAUGACAAAACUUCUUGAUAUACUUGAGGAUUACAUGACUAUAGAAUUUGGUCCUAAGACAUUUGAAAGAGUGGAUGGUUCAGUGUCGGUGGUUGAUCGUCAAGCAGCAAUUGCUCGUUUUAAUCAAGACAAAACUCGAUUUGUGUUCUUAUUAUCCACACGCUCUUGUGGCCUUGGAAUAAAUUUGGCAACAGCAGAUACUGUUAUUAUAUAUGAUUCAGAUUUCAAUCCACAUGCUGAUAUACAAGCAAUGAAUAGAGCACAUAGAAUUGGGCAAUCAAAAAGGCUUCUGGUGUACAGGCUCAUGGUACGUGCUAGUGUCGAGGAGCGCAUCUUGCAGCUUGCUAAGAAGAAAUUGAUGCUUGACCAACUAUUUGUGAACAAGUCAGAAUCUCAAAAGGAAGUGGAGGACAUUCUUAGAUGGGGAACAGAAGAACUUUUCAGUGACCGUGAUACUGUAAAUGGACAAGAUCCAAAAGAAGCUUCAAGCAGCAAAACUGAUUCUGUUGCUGAUGGUGAGCAUAAGCAUAGAAAGAGGGCUGGUGGGCUGGGAGAUGUAUACCAGGAUAAAUGCACUGAUGGAUGCACAAAGAUCAUGUGGGAUGAAAAUUCAAUUUUAAAGCUUCUUGAUCGGUCAAACCUUCAGUCAGCAGUCUCUGAAAGUGCUGAUGGGGAGUUAGAGAAUGAUAUGCUUGGUGCAGUAAAGUCAGUGGAUUGGAAUGAUGAACUAAAUGAGGAACAAAGGGGGGCUGAUAUGCUCCCUAGUGUUGCUGGUGAUGGUUGUGAGCAGGCAUCUGAAGCAAAAGAAGAUAAUGCAAUCAGUGGUACUGAGGAAAACGAAUGGGAUAGACUGUUACGUGUCAGGUGGGAAAAAUAUCAGAUCGAGGAAGAAGCAGCUCUUGGUCGAGGGAAGCGCUUGAGAAAAGCAAUAUCUUACAAGGAAACAUUUGCUUCAAUACCAAGUGAAGGCUUAAGUGAGAGUGGUAAUGAAGAGGAGGAACCAGAGCCAGAAUAUACAUCUGCUGGCCGGGCAUUGAAAGAAAAAUUUGCUAGGCUCCGUGCUAGACAGAAGGAACGGAUUGCCCGGAGGCACAUCACAGAGUUUCCUGCUUCUGUUGAUGAACCUGAGUUACUGACACAACCACUUGUUCCUUCUGCCACAGAAGGUGAAGACCUGAAUAUCAGCAAACCUCUGGAAAACACAGGAGAACAGGCUUCUUUCAUCAAUCUGGAGGACACCAAAUUAUCUCAACCAUUUGAAACUAGGAACUGGAGUGAGUCUACUGCAAGACUGGGAAAGUUCUUGAAGCAUGGGUACAAACAAUUCCAUGGGACUCAUUUGGAUCUUUCUGUUGGACCACCUGGAAAUUUUUCUCCUGAUAGCUCUUUACCUAACCAUCAGUACUCUGGCAACCUUCUACCUGUUUUGGGACUAUGUGCUCCUAAUGCUAAUCAGGUAAACUCAACAUCCCGAAAUAUUCGAUCUCUACUGAGCCUAUCAACAUCAAAUCAUCAACAGAGAAGAAUGAGUAGUAGAUUGUCAGAAUUUCCAUUGGCACUUGCUGCCAACACUCGACCUCUAAAAGACACAAAUAUUCAAGGUAGAGAAACAACUGCAGAUACAUCUCUAUUGCCAGAGACAUCUCUAUUGCCUGAUACAUCUGGAGAAGCUUUGCAUCACCAUUUAAAGAAUAUCAUUCCCGACAGCUAUUUUCCCUUUUGUCCUCCUCCUCCUACAUCCUCUGGAAAGGGCUCCCAUGGUCUGCUAGAUGGUUUGGGUUCUUCUUUUGCCUCAUUUCAAGAGAAAUUGGGUCUUCCUAGCUUAAUUCUUGAUGAUAAGACACUGCCAAGGUUCUCAUAUCCAUCUAGAACUUUGAUGAAGCCACAUGCAGAUUUCUCGCCAAGCUUGUCAGUGGGCACAAAUUUAGAUUAUGUUAAUGGUUUCAUUCGGGAUUUGUCAAAUAUUCCCCAAGUUUCAGACUUUAGGCAACAGAUGAGUGAUAUGAAGCAAAAAAAACUGAUGGCAGAGCUACCUCCAAUGCUUGGACUGGGUCCAAUGCAAGCUGCACAUUCAUCAUUACCUGAAAACCAUAGGAAGGUUCUUGACAACAUAAUGAUGCGAACUCAAUCGGCAAGUAGUAAAUUCCUCAAGAAAAAAUUAAAGGCAGAUGCAUGGUCAGAAGAUGAACUUGAUGCUCUCUGGAUUGGUGUUCGUAGGCAUGGAAGGGGAAAUUGGGAUGCAAUGCUCAGAGAUCCCAAGUUGAAGUUCUCAAAGCAUAGAACUGCUGAAGACUUGUCCGCAAGAUGGAUUGAGGAGCAGUGCAAGAUAAUGGAUGGGCCAGCUUUUGCAGCUCCAGAAUCUCCCAGGCCUACAUCAUUUCCUGGAAUCUCUGAUGGAAUGAUGACUCGGGCAUUGCUUGGAAGUAAAUUUGCUAGUCUUGGAACUGAACCACCUAAGUUUCACUCUCACCCAGAUAUUCAGUCAGGCUGUGCGGAUCUUACAUCUGGAUUUUCAUGUACUGAGCCAGCCAAUUAUAUUGGUGCAGUGAAUGAGAACUACCCACUAGUCACAGCAUGGAAAUCUGACAAAAUGGGAACAAGUUAUGCAGGAGAUUUUUCUGCCCGACCAUUUGAUAGAAUGGAGAAAAUUAAUAUACCUUUGAAUUAUUCAUUUCAACAUAAUUCAUUGGCAGGUCAUAGUUUUGGCUCUCUAGGCGUGAACUGUCCUAGCAGCUGUGCUUUGCAGAAGAAGGAAGAUGGAUUUUGUGCCCCCAAUAAUCUUCACUUCUGUAGCAUUUCAGACAAAUCACUGAACUUGUUGCAUGAUUCCCAUAAUAAUGUUCAUUCUGGUAAAUCCAACAUGGGAAUGCCUCUCAAUGUCCAAAAGAAGUCAGUUUCUGCUAAUCCUCCUCCCAACAACGAUAAUGCUGUUGGGAGUUCAAAUACAAACAAUCUCCCUCAUUGGCUUCGAGAAGCAGUCAGCAUUCCACCAUCCAGGCCACCAGAACCUGAUUUGCCCCCAGCUGUUUCAGCAAUUGCUCAAUCAGUUCGCCUGCUUUAUGGAGAAGAAAAACUAACAAUCCCUCCAUUCACAAUUCCAGGUCCGCUCCCUUUCCAGCCCAAGGAUCCAAGGAAAAGUCUGAAAAAGAAGAGGAAGUUGCAUAGGCUACGUCAAGUGACCCCUGAUAUUGCCGAUGCCAAAAAUUUUGAUCACACUGCUUUGGGCACCAUUCCUCCUGGACCACAUUUAAUGGCAUGUGCACCCAGUCUCCCUCCGACUGAUGUCGAUGAAAGCAUCCCAGCUCUGAAUUUGAAUCUAAAUUCACCAUCCUUGACAUCAUUUUUGACACAAGGAAAUAAGCAAGGCACGACAAUGUCACCAUCUCCUGAAGUGCUCCAAUUGGUAGCAUCUUGUGUGGCUCCUGGUCCUUGCACAUCCCCAGCAACUGACAUGCCUGGCACUAGCUGCAAAAAAACUGAUUUGCCCGUAUCAAAAGAUCUUGAAAAUUUUGAACAAGAUGGAAAGAGUCUGAUUGGAGAUUUCAAGGGCAUUCGUGGAAAGCGAAAGGCAAGUAGGAACUCACUUUUAGGUUGUUGGGGGAAACUAACAGAUAAGCAGGUUGAUCGUGCGGAGAGUGGAGACUCAAGUAAAACUCGAUUAGAUCCAGAUCGAACAGACAAGCUCAACAUUGAGGAAAUGUCAUCAGAAGAAACUGUAUCAGAUGACAAUGGAAGUGAACAUGAAUCAUAAACCUUCUCAUAUUUUUGGUCCUUGUCUUUUCCCUUAUGCUGGCAAAGUUUGGUCUGUGGAUGUCCCACUUUCAUAUACGUGGUUCAGAGAGUGUCAUGCGAGAGCAAACGAAACAAGACAUCUUCUCUCAAAGCAUCUAUAUAAGAAAUAUAAUCUUUCCAAUUCAGUAUUGUUGUCUCGAAAUCUUGAUAUCUACCAUACAUUAUAAGUUGACUAGGAUUCUUGAAAGUGGCGGUUUCCAGGCGUCGUGCCCUUUUAGUUAACAAAGGCUUCUACUCCUGGAGUACUAUUGCAAGAGACUGCCAUAUAUUGUGUCUGCUUUGCAUCUUAUUCCUUUAUUUUAAUAUUUUAAUAUGAAUUUCCUCGCGUGAUGCAGGUCAGGUUUUGUAUCAUGCAUGAUGUCUCUUCACAAAUUUUAGCUGCCACUGGUUUUCAAGAAUAUUGUGCUCUCUCCCUUAGUCUUCCCUCAAACUACCAUUGUUGUGGGCUAUCUUGCAGCCCCAGGACAAACGGGAACAUCUUUGGAGAAGCCGUGCAUAUUUUUUGCCUUAGCAUCUUGAAUAUUCUGUUUAGCAUGCACACACGCAUUCUCUCCCAGUAGAAAUCUUUUGUAUGGUUUGGUGCAUUUUUAACCAAGCCAUCAAGCUUGCCAUAAUUCAAUAAAUGUUUCAAAGCGACUCAUUUGCAGUAAUACUUCCAUUUAACAAUAGAUGGAGUUUUGAGUGGUGC